rnacentral:rRNA from 1 species
GGUGAGUGGUAGAGGGCAGGUGGGGUGAUAGUGAUGGGUGAAGAGUUAUGUGGAAUUGACGGGUGGGAAGCGUGCGGAGGCGGUGGUUUGAGUCGGAGGGGAAAGUCCCGGUCGCAACCUGGGAAGGUCAGUGGAAACGGGCAGGCUAGAGUGUUGUAGAGGGGGGUAGAAUUGCAGUUGUAGCGGUGAAAUGCGUAGAGAUCGGGAGGAAGAGCGGUGGGGAAGGCGGCCCGCUGGACAAAGACUGACGCUCAGGUGCGAAAGCGUGGGGAGCAAACAGGAUUAGAUACCCUGGUAGUC